GUGGGUAGCGGUGAAAUUCCAAUCGAGCCCGGAGAUAGCUGGUUCUCCCCGAAAUAGCUUUAGGGCUAGCCUCAAGGUGAGAGAUACGGAGGUAGAGCACUGAAUGUCCUAGGGGGUAUUGCACCUACCGAAGACUAUCAAACUCCGAAUGCCGUCAUCUUAUACUUGGGAGUCAGACUGUGGGUGAUAAGAUUCAUAGUCGAAAGGGCAACAGCCCAGAUCGUCAGCUAAGGUCCCUAAAUGUAAGUUAAGUGGUAAAGGAUGUGGGAUUGCACAGACAACCAGGAUGUUGGCUUAGAAGCAGCCACUCAUUCAAAGAGUGCGUAAUAGCUCACUGGUCGAGUGAUCCUGCGCCGAAGAUUUCCGGGGCUAAAACUUACUACCGAAGCUACGGCAUCAGUAAUGAUGGGUAGGGGAGCUUCCCAUACGGGUUGAAGCAUGACCGUAAGGACAUGUGGACAGUAUGGGAGUGAGAAUGUUGGCAUGAGUAGCGAGAUGUGGGUGAGAAUCCCACAGGCCGUAAACCCAAGGUUUCCAGGGGAAGGUUCGUCCGCCCUGGGUUAGUCGGGACCUAAGCUGAGGCCGAAAGGCGUAGGUGAUGGACAACAGGUUGAUAUUCCUGUACUACCGAUAACCGUUUGAGAGAGGGGAUGACACAGUAGGAUAAGCUAAGCACACUGUUGGUUAUGUGUGCCCAAGCAUUGAGGCAGUCAAAGUAGGCAAAUCCGCUUUGAUAAUGCUGGGAUGUGAUGGGGAGCGAAAUUUAGUAGCGAAGUAGCUGAUUUCACACUGUCAAGAAAAGUCUCUAUCGAGGUUAAAGGUACCCGUACCGCAAACCGACACAGGUGGGUGAGGAGAGUAUCCUAAGGCCAGCGAGAGAACUGUUGUUAAGGAACUCGGCAAAAUGACCCCGUAACUUAGGGAUAAGGGGUGCCACCAUCAGGUGGCCGCAGAGAAUAGGCCCAAGCGACUGUUUACCAAAAACAUAGGUUUCUGCUAAGUCGCAAGACGAUGUAUAGG
rnacentral:rRNA from 1 species